AGCAGCCGCGGUAAUUCCAGCUCCAAUAGCGUAUAUUAAAGUUGUUGCAGUUAAAAAGCUCGUAGUUGAAUUUCGGAAUCAAUUUGUUGGUCGUGCCUCGGUACGUACUGGUAUUAUUGGUUUCUACCUUCUGAAGAACCUUGAUGUCAUUAAUUUGGUGUCUUGGGGAAUCAGGACUGUUACUUUGAAAAAUUAGAGUGUUUAAAGCAAGCAUACGCUUGAAUACAUUAGCAUGGAAUAAUGAAAUAGGACGUUUGAUUCUAUUUUGUUGGUUUCUAGGAUCGACGUAAUGAUUAAUAGGGAUAGUUGGGGGCAUUAGUAUUCAAUUGUCAGAGGUGAAAUUCUUGGAUUUAUUGAAGACUAACUACUGCGAAAGCAUUUGCCAAGGAUGUUUUCAUUAAUCAAGAACGAAAGUUAGGGGAUCGAAGACGAUCAGAUACCGUCGUAGUC
rnacentral:rRNA from 2 species